rnacentral:rRNA from 1 species
CCUACGGGUGGCAGCAGUAGGGAAUCUUCCACAAUGGACGCAAGCCUGAUGGAGCAACACCGCGUGAGUGAAGAAGGGUUUCGGCUCGUAAAGCUCUGUUGUUAGUGAAGAAAGAUAGAGAUAGUAACUGGCCAUUCUGUGACGGUAAUUAAUUAGAAAGUCACGGCUAACUACGUGCCAGCAGCCGCGGUAAUACGUAGGUGGCAAGCGUUGUCCGGAUUUAUUGGGCGUAAAGCGAGUGCAGGCGGUUCAAUAAGUCUGAUGUGAAAGCCUUCGGCUUAACCGGAGAAUUGCAUCAGAAACCGGUGGACUUGAGUGCAGAAGAGGAGAGUGGAACUCCAUGUGUAGCGGUGGAAUGCGUAGAUAUAUGGAAGAACACCAGUGGCGAAGGCGGCUGUCUGGUCUGCAACUGACGCUGAGGCUCGAAAGCAUGGGUAGCGAACAGGAUUAGAUACCCUUGUAGUC